rfam:Pseudomonas sp. TRMO17WK12:I11 isolate Yellow genome assembly, chromosome: 1
GCUGCUGUCAAUCCAGCAGUCGGGUUUGGUAGCCCGAAUUGAUCAAGGCGCACAAAGCGCCCGCUUUCGCUAUGGUUGGCGCAUUUUUU